GGCUCGGUAGCUUAGUUGGAAAAGCACUUGUCUAGCGUACAAGGGUCGUGAGUUCAAAUCUCACCUGAGCUG
rfam:Aedes albopictus isolate Foshan contig3157, whole genome shotgun sequence.